ACCUGGGUGGCUCAGUCGGUGGAGCAUCUGACUUUGGCUCAGGUCAUGAUCUCACGGUUCGUGGGUUUGAGCCCCUUUUUGGGUG
rfam:Felis catus isolate Cinnamon breed Abyssinian chromosome E2, whole genome shotgun sequence.